rnacentral:tRNA from 1 species
GCCUCUGUAGCUCAAUGGUAGAGCAAUUGCCUUGUAAGCAAUAGGUUGAGGGUUCAAGUCCCUCCGGGGGCU